rnacentral:rRNA from 1 species
UACGAAGGGGGCUAGCGUUGCUCGGAAUUACUGGGCGUAAAGCGCACGUAGGCGGAUUGUUAAGUCAGGGGUGAAAUCCUGGAGCUCAACUCCAGAACUGCCUUUGAUACUGGGGAUCUCGAGUCCGGAAGAGGUGAGUGGAACUCCGAGUGUAGAGGUGAAAUUCGUAGAUAUUCGGAAGAACACCAGUGGCGAAGGCGGCUCACUGGUCCGGUACUGACGCUGAUGUGCGAAAGCGUGGGGAGCAAACAGG